rnacentral:rRNA from 1 species
CGCCUUUUGAAUUAUAUACAUAAAAGGUCCUGCCUGCCCAGUGACUUGUUUUAACGGCCGCGGUAUCAUGACCGUGCAAAGGUAGCGUAAUCACUUGUCUUUUAAAUAAAGACCAGUAUGAAUGGCAAGACGAAAGCCUAACUGUCUCCCCGGAUUAGUCAAUGAAAUUGAUUUUCCCGUGCAGAAGCGGGAAUAAUAAUAUAAGACGAGAAGACCCUGUGGAGCUUUAAACUUAAGCUAACAAACCAAAAUGCCUUAGCACCCAGUUUUAGGUUGGGGCGACCACGAGGUAAAACACAACCCUCGACAUAAACAAAGAAGGACACUUCAAAUAACAUUAUAAUAUAUUGACCCAAUAAUUGAUCAACGAACCAAGUUACCCCAGGGAUAACAGCGCAAUCUACUCAAAGAGCCCAUAUCGACGAGCAGGUUUACGACCUCGAUGUUGGAUCAGGACUCCCCAAUAACGCAACCGUUAUUAAAGGUUCGUUUGUUCAACGAUUAAAGUCCU